UGGGGAAUAUUGCACAAUGGGCGCAAGCCUGAUGCAGCGACGCCGCGUGAGGGAUGACGGCCUUCGGGUUGUAAACCUCUGUUAGCAUCGAAGAAGCGAAAGUGACGGUAGGUGCAGAGAAAGCGCCGGCUAACUACGUGCCAGCAGCCGCGGUAAUACGUAGGGCGCGAGCGUUGUCCGGAAUUAUUGGGCGUAAAGAGCUUGUAGGCGGUUGGUCGCGUCUGCUGUGAAAGGCCGGGGCUUAACUCCGGUUUUGCAGUGGGUACGGGCUAACUAGAGUGCAGUAGGGGAGACUGGAAUUCCUGGUGUAGCGGUGGAAUGCACAGAUAUCAGGAGGAACACCGAUGGCGAAGGCAGGUCUCUGGGCUGUAACUGACGCUGAGAAGCGAAAGCAUGGGGAGCGAACAGGAUUAGAUACCCUGGUAGUCCAUGCCGUAAACGUUGGGCACUAGGUGUGGGGGACAUUCCACGGUUUCCGCGCCGUAGCUAACGCAUUAAGUGCCCCGCCUGGGGAGUACGGCCGCAAGGCUA
rnacentral:rRNA from 1 species